rnacentral:ncRNA from 2 species
AUAUGGUUAUGUCGUGAUGGUCCCGCGCGAGCGGGCGAAGAGGGAACACCGUGUCUCCGCAGCUUGCGGGCAGUCGGUGGCUGCCCCCGCAACUGUGAGCGGCGAGCAUCCGGCGCGUGGCGCGACCGCGUCAGCCACUGGGUUUCAGGCCCGGGAAGGCGGCACCGGAUGUGUUGAACCGUGAGCCAGGAGACCUGCCAUCACCGCUGACCGAUG